rnacentral:rRNA from 1 species
GUCUACGGCCAUGCCAUCCAGAACACUCUUGAUCUCGUCUGAUCUCGGAAGUGAAGCAGGGUCGGGCCUGGUUAGUAUUUGGAUGGGAGACCACCUAGGAAGACCAGGUGCUGUAGGCG